AGGGAAGGCACAGGCGUGCUCCUCAAGAUGAGACUGCUGGGUCUUCUGCUGUGCCUUGCAUUAGCUCCACAGGAUGUUCUGUCAGAUGUGAAGCUGCAAGAGUCAGGCCCAGGAUUGGUGAAGCCCUCACAGACCCUCUCCCUCACCUGCACUGUCUCUGGUUACUCCAUCACCAGUAGCUGCUGGAACUGGAUACGCCAGCCACAAGGGAAGGGGCUGGAGUGGAUCGGGAAAAUAUGUAGUGGUAGAGACACUUACUAUAGUCUGACCCUCAAGAGCCGCACCUCCAUCUCAAGUGACAUGCCCAAGAACCAGGUCUCCCUGCAGCUGAGCUCCAUGACCACGGAGGACACAGCUGUGUAUUACUGUGCAGGAGGCACAGUGAGGGGAAGUCAGGGUGAGCUCUGA